UACGUAGGGGGCAAGCGUUGUCCGGAAUCAUUGGGCGUAAAGCGCGUGUAGGCGGCCUUGCAAGUUGGAUGUGAAAGCCCACGGCUCAACCGUGGAAGCGCAUCCAAAACUGCAUCGCUCGAGUCUCGGAGAGGAAGGUGGAAUGCUUGGUGUAGAGGUGAAAUUCGUAGAUAUCAAGCAGAACACCUGCGGCGAAGGCGGCCUUCUGGACGAUGACUGACGCUGAGACGCGAAAGCGUGGGGAGCAAACAGG
rnacentral:rRNA from 1 species